rnacentral:rRNA from 1 species
UACGUAGGGACCGAGCGUUGUCCGGAAUCAUUGGGCGUAAAGAGCGUGUAGGCGGCCGAUCAAGUUCCGCGUGAAAUCUCACGGCUCAACCGUGAGCAGCCGUGGAAACUGGUCGGCUAGAGUGCGGGAGAGGAGAGUGGAAUUCCCGGUGUAGAAGGUGAAUUCGUAGAUAGUCGGGAGGAACACCAGUGGCGAAGGCGGAGACCUGGGCCGAUACUGACGCUGAGGUGCGAAAGCGUGGGAGCAACAGG